rnacentral:rRNA from 1 species
CCCUUAGACGUUCUGAGCCGCACGCGCGCUACACUGACGAAGGCAACGAGCUUUCCUUUACCGAAAGGUACGGGUAAUCUUUUGAAACUUCGUCGUGCUGGGGAUAGAUCCUUGCAAUUAUUGAUCUUAAACGAGGAAUUCCUAGUAAGCGCAAGUCAUCAACUUGCGUUGAUUACGUCCCUGCCCUUUGUACACACCGCCCGUCGCUACUACCGAUUGAAUGGUUUAGUGAGGUCUUCGGAUCCGCGACUCGUUUUGUGGAGAAGUUGGACAAACUCAGUCAUUUAGAGGAAGUAAAAGUCGUAACA